rnacentral:rRNA from 1 species
UGUAAGGAAAGCGGAAGCCGGGAAUGGAAAGCCCGGUGCAAGCGGGGUACCAGUCACUUUGGCAAAUCCGGGUGGCAAUGGGAAGCCGUGAUGCGGAGUGAAAUAAAGUAGCGAAGUCCGUGAGCCAUGCGUCAAGAAAGGCCGCUAUCGUUUAUACCGUACCCGUACCGUAAACCGACACAGGUGGAUGAGGAGAGAAUCCUAAGGCCGGCGGAAGAAGCAUUGUCAAGGAACUCGGCAAAAUGGCCCCGUAACUUAGGGAUAAGGGGUGCCUGGGAAACCAGGCCGCAGAGAAUAGGCUCAAGCAACUGUUUAGCAAAAACACAGGUCUAUGCGAAACCGAAAGGUGAGGUAUAUGGGCUGACGCCUGCCCGGUGCUGGAAGGUUAAGAGGAGAGGUUAGCGGUAACGCGAAGCUUUGAAUUUAAGCCCCAGUAAACGGCGGCCGUAACAAUAACGGUCCUAAGGUAGCGAAAUUCCUUGUCGGGUAAGUUCCGACCCGCACGAAAGGCGUAAUGAUUUGAGCGCUGUCUCGACAAUGCAUCCGGUGAAAUUGAAGUACCAGUGAAGAUGCUGGUUACCUGCGCCAGGACGGAAAGACCCCAUGGAGCUUUACUCCAGUCUGGUACUGGGACUCGGUAUUGCAUGUACAGGAUAGGUGGGAGGCUGGGAGAUGGUAACGCCAGUUGCCAUGGAGCCGCUGUUGGGAUACCACCCUUGCAGUAUUGGGUUUCUAACCAGCCGCCGUGACCCGGCGGUGGGACAAUGCCAGACGGGGAGUUUGACUGGGGCGGUCGCCUCCGAAAGGGUAUCGGAGGCGCCCAAAGGUUCCCUCAGAAUGGACGGAAACCAUUCGAAGAGUGCAAAGGCAGAAGGGAGCUUGACUGCGACACCGACGGGUGGAGCAGGUACGAAAGUAGGGCUUAGUGAUCCGGUGGUAUUAAGUGGGAAUGCCAUCGCUCAACGGAUAAAAGCUACCCUGGGAUAACAGGCUUAUCACUCCCAAGAGUUCACAUCGACGGAGUGGUUUGGCACCUCGAUGUCGGCUCAUCGCAUCCUGGGGCUGUAGUAGGUCCCAAGGGUUGGGCUGUUCGCCCAUUAAAGCGGUACGCGAGCUGGGUUCAGAACGUCGUGAGACAGUUCGGUCCCUAUCCGGCGUGGGCGUAGGAUAUCUGAGAGGAGCUGUCCUUAGUACGAGAGGACCGGGAUGGACGGGCCGCUGGUGCAUCGGUUAGACUGCCAAGUCUACGGCCGAGUAGCCAAGCCCGGAAGGGAUAAACGCUGAAGGCAUCUAAGCGUGAAGCCCCCCUUAAGAUGAGAUAUCCCAUUCGUUAAGAAGUAAACCCCCUUGAAGACGACGAGGUAGAUAGGGCAGAGGUGGAAGUGUAGCAAUGCAUGGAGCUGACUAUUACUAAUCGGGUGAGGGCUUGACCG